rnacentral:lncRNA from 1 species
GAGCAGACAGACAGAUUUACACUAAUGGUUCAUUUUGUCAAUUGCAGAAAUGUCAGUUAAAGAGCAAGGUCUACCGUUAUUUUACAUAUUGAUCUUUGCUGCCACUGCUGGAUCUCUGUUGAUUGUAGCUGCAGUUGUGAUGUGCUGCAUCUGCAAGAAACGUAGAAAAACAGUCCAAAACCACGAAGAAGACUCUGAUUCAGCAUUGUGUAAACCCAAAACACACAAAAAGGUAAGAUCAUGAUUCAUGACUGUUGCAAGAAGUUGUUGCAGUCAGUUAGUCUGAUUGAAGUUUUGCAUUUAAUGUGCAUCAGACGGUCAGUGAACAGACGUGGGUGGUUUAGUGGCCCAACUGCCAGCACUUACGAUCAAAGGAUAGUUUAAGCAUUUAUUUAUAUAUAAACGGGCACAUGUUUGUCCUCAUAUAAUUGUACUCUUUGAUUUUUUUCCCCUCAAAACAGUUCUCACUGACAACAGCAAACACUAUAGUCCACUGCUUUUAAUUUAGAAAAGAUUUUAAUUGGCUUGUAAAAAUAAAUAAAUUAAUUACAUUUAAUUUAAAAAACAUAAAUAAAUGAAAAGGGACAAUGUUAGGGUCAACUUUUAAAUCUGCUUGAACUUGGGCGCUGGAAGAACAGGGUGACUUCACAUUGAUUUGACCCAGCACUUUUUAAAUGAUUUGUGGAUUUAUUUGUAAGCAACAAUGUUACUGAUGUAAUUUUGUCUUAAAAAAGUGCUGUGGUUGUGUAUUUCAUUUUUGGGGAAUACACCUAAUUUAAAUAUUCUUGAUGAAACCUAUAGCCUACUGUAACUCCAUAAUAUUCAAGCGUUUUUAUGACAACAGAGCAGCAGUGUUACAACAGAGCCGUCACUAGUGGGGUGAAAUGUGGUGAUGAUUAUAAGGGCCCACGGCUGAGGUGGGGGCCCUCGCCCAACUGGCUGAGGCCAGCCUAAAAAGGACAGUUGACCUGCCACUGCUGCACAUCGUCACAAAAGCUUAUCAUUUGCACGUGUUUUUAAGCAUUGCCAGUUUAAACAUUCAAAAGAGUUUAAAGCAUUCAAACACAAGACGCAGAAAAACUCAACUGAGCCGUGUUCGGUGCGCAUGCAGAGAGCUGCAUCUCACAGACAGCAACACCGAACCGAGCUCUACUUCGUGUCCUAGUAGUGUAAACAUGCAAACAGAAAAAGAUGUGAAAGAGCCCAAUUCAACACCCGCGCGCAGUGUUUUGUGCAGGGUGCACGCAGAGAGAGGCGUCUAAAAAGGGCUUGAACAACGAAAUUUGUUUGUUCUUGCUCUUGUACCGACAAAUAGAUACAAAUUAUGUCAAAAAACCUGUCUUGGAGAGUGUCCUCGAAAAAAACCUGUCGGUUAUGUCUUAAGUGAAAAUAAACAGUGGAGAAAGAAAUCGGAUGUGUGCAUUUUGUCUCUUAAAGUGACCGGCCUAAUUUAGCUGUUAGGUGCAGUGGGUGUCCUUAAUGUUAAUCCAAGAAAAUGAAAGGAAGAAAAUCACUCACUGCUCUUGACUGAAUUACUUUGUAGUUUUAACAAGAAUGAAUCCACAGUCUAACCAACAAUUAUUCAGACACCAGCACCGGGGCCCCGCUAACCACAGCUACAGCCCUGCCAGUGAAUGUGAGAAUUUAUAAUGGCAACCAGAAAGACACUGCUACUGUUGCAUCUGCUGACGUCCAACAGCUUAUUAUACUAAAUCAAAUGCAUGAAUAUUAUUAAAGUCAAAACAGUUUCUUUGCGCUCAUACUGUAAUUUCUGUAAUAUAGAAUAAAACGUUCAUAGCCAAGCACAUCUCGCUAUCAUUAAAACAUUUACAUAUGUGUAUUUUUUUUAAACUAAUAAUGAUUGCACGUCAUUUGUGUGCUUAACUCUAUCCAGGACCAGUGUUGGGCAUAAUGUCAUCAAAUUACUGAUUACUCUUUUAAGAAGUAAUCACGUUACUGUUCUGAUUACUUCAUU